rnacentral:lncRNA from 1 species
ACAGCCUGAGGUGCCACCAAAGCCAUAAGCCCAGGGGAGUCUCUCACACCCCAUUCUCCUAGGGCCCAUGUACCCCACGCCCACCUCCACCCCAGGAGCCGAAGGCCGGCAGGGAGCCUGGAGAGCCUCCUUGAUGGGAGAACUGCGGAGCUUGCCCCUCGGAAAAGUGCAUGGGGUGGAGAACAGGGAAGGAGAAAAAAACAACAACUGGGUACUCGCAGCCCCACCGCGGUGUCCGCUUCGCCGGUGGGAGAGGAUCCUCGCCGCCCUGAAUCCUUGAAAUCCUUGCCGAGCAUCUGCUCUGUACAGGCCGUGUACUAAGUGCUAGAGAGAUGGUGUGGGGUAGAUAAUGGCUUCCAGAGAUGUUCACGUCCUGAUCCACAGAUCCUAUAUGUGAGUGGAAAAAAGCCACAAAUUGAAAAUGUUUUUUAUCUGCUCUCACAUCACAACAAUCAACACAGAAGACUUCUGUGCCCACAUAUGUGAGGAUUUCUCUCACCAGCAAACAAGCAAUCAGUUCUGCAGUGGACACCAGCUGGGUGUCCUCCGAUUCAGUUCUGACACUCUCUAC